rnacentral:misc_RNA from 1 species
AACGCAUCUUGCGCUCCUUGGUAUUCCGAGGAGCAUGCCUGUUUGAGUGUCAUUUAAACUCUCAAACCACAUCAUUCGUUUGACGUGGCUUUGGACGUGGGGGUUUGCCGGGCUCUUCUUCUCAGCUCCCCUGAAAUGCAUUAGUGGUAUCUGGAGCGGAAAACCGCUAGGUGUGAUAAAUACUGUCUAUGCCUUUGGUUAUGCCGUGUGUGCUGCUUCCCAACGCAACAUUUAUUUGACAAACUUGACCUCAAAUCAGGUAGGACUACCCGCUGAACUUAA